ACUUGGAUACGGUUGAACCCAUGUAAACAAUACUCUUUGUGUGUAAAAUUUGGGAUAUUUUCUGUGUUUGAAGAGUUCUCGCUGUGCGCUGGUCGGCCAUCUUGAAAAAUAAAUUGUGAAGGUCGUAUUUCCAGCUUUCCUGCGAGACGGCAGUUCAGAUGCAGUCGUCCUGUGUGUCAGAAAGCUGGUGAUCAAAAUGGUUGAAGGCAGUUCCCAAGAAAGUACAUUUACAAGUAAGU